UAAGUCCCUGUCGGGAAAGGUCUAAUCAACCACCCGUAUCGAGUGUUGCGCCUGUGGCGGAGUCAUUUUUUUUUCUGAUGAACAAAACAGGUGAAGCGUACACAGAGAAUCUGGUAGGCCAUAGCGGUUUUCGUGACCGUGAAGUGCUGGCAUCGCUCCGAAAAGUGUAUGAGUUCCAGUUGGUGAGAGCUGUAACGUACUCGAAACCUAUAUGAACCUUCUGUACUGAUUUAGAGGGAACGAACUGGCGGAGUUAUCAAGCC
rnacentral:ncRNA from 1 species